CUCGUCCCACCAGGGAGGCGCAUCUACGUGGGCUGAGCCCGCUGCGGUCCCUUAAAAUAAAGUCCACAUAAAUCCAAGUGAAGACACCACUUCCUGAAGUGAGUAAGCUUGACUAUUCUUCCUGCCCCCAGGGACUUUCAAACGGCAUUGAAAAUGAGAAUCAUCUGUCUCAAAAAUGUUUCCUUGUCAAGUUAAUUGAAUGGCGAAGGCUAGCGAUGGGGCAAUGCCCAAUCGUGUCUUCGGCUCCCGUUUUAGCACAAGCCAAAGGGCUUCUCGGAACAACACCAGGAUUUGUGUAGUGUCCGUGUCUUCAAGUCAUGCUCUGCUUUUCACUGUUCUUUUUAAGGCAUAGAAAUAAGGGUCACAGCCAAGCCUCCAGGAGCUGUGGUGGGUGGGAAGGAGGCAGUGGAGAUGCCGGCAGGUAAACAGGAGACGGCAAAAUUCAGUUUCAGGCUGUGCUCGACCUUGCAGAGAAACCUGGGUUUGCCUCUCACUGGUUGGUGUCCUUGGGUAAGCUGUCUAAUGGCUCUGCCACAACCCCUGUCCCACGCGGUCACACAGGGCCCCGCGAUCCGAAGGGCUCGUGCUCGGUUUAACGCUCUGCUGUCAUCGUCUUGAAAUUCUUAAUAAUUUUUGAACAAGAGCACUGCAUUUUCAUUUUGCAGUGGGCCCUGUAAAUCACGUGGCCAAAUCCUGCUCUCUGAGCUCAAUUUUCACAUGUGUGAAAUGGCAGGAACGACACCGUCCCUCUGCAGGACCACCGUGACAUUCCAGACCAGUCCAGCGGCUGGCAGCCUGCAAUGCUGCCAGUACCUGCCUGGCCAUGCCAGGAGCUCAAGUGACCAUGGCUGCAGUCAUUUUCAGGACCCAUCUCAGAAGGAAGUCUUUAACUACAGGCCUGAGACCAUGACUCGAAGCUUCCGGAACCUUUGAAAUUCUCACUGUUUAUUAUUUUUGUUACUCCCAUCUGUUUCCUGCAGCAAUGAACUCUUUAAAUGGAAAGGCUGUGAACUUGCGUGGGGGGUGGGGAGCUGCGCAGGGCAGGGGCUGGUGGGAGGCUCCACCCCUUGGGCAGCCUGGCUGGGGAGGAGAGUCCCCGGGGAGAAGUGGCAGAGCUGAGAAAACAGACCAGGUCCCCAGAGCUUCCGCAAGGGAGGAAGGAAGAAAUGGCUUCUCUCUCACAGUUCACCCAGUUAGGAUUUCCAAACAGUAACAGAAAAAGUGGAGUUACAGCUGGAACUAAGGGACGUGCAUGAGCCCACAGCCCAUCUCGUCCCUCCCUCCACACGCUGUGAGCUUCUGUAGCUAAAGAGCUUCUAAGAGCCAUGGGGUCACCCUGCCCCACCUCAGCAGGUGCACCUCAGCCAGUUCCAAUGGGGCAGGAGUGAUGAGCGGCUUUGUCUCCUCCAUCACUUCUACCCCUGCAGGUGUCCAGGGCCCUAACCCACCCCUACAGUUUACACAUGUCCUGAGACACUGAAAUGGGAGCAUCCACAUAGGAUAAACACUAGGCGACAGGCAAGCCCUCAGACACUAUUGGAGGUGCCCCUCUGGGCCAGUGUGCUGGCCACCCCAAAAGGAGGUCCUCACCUGCCAUCCACAGGAAGGACACCCACGUAGCUCCUGUGGGGAUGGUGUGCAGUGACCACAAGAAGAGACUGCAGAUGUGAAGGUGCUGACUGAGCUCCCUUGGCACCCCUGGCCGAUGACAGAAGAGCUCCCUCCACGGGGAGCCGGGUGGUUCUGGAAGCUGAGUCCGCUUGUGCCCACGUGGCCCUGCCUCCCCUCCAUCUCUCUCCUUUCCCCCAGCCAGGGGAAUCCUUUCCAUCUGCAGGUGCAGAAGUUUCCCUCUUCCCCGACUCUCCUCCCACAUCCAUUAUUUAUGCCUCAGUCCCUCUCAUCCCCCUGAGGCCAAAGGUUUUGAAACUCCAGAGCCGAGAGCUGACAGUCUGUCUUCUGAGUUUCUGUUGACUCAUCGCCUUGGGGAUGCACAGCUGGCAGAAUGGAGGAGGGGGCAAGGUGGGAACACCAGGAGCAAAAACAUGUAUCAUCCCACCACACGCUCUCAAAUAGUUAUGUCAAGACUUGUGAUGAUGAUUUGUGUUUAUUUGUUUCACGAAAGUAGAGCUAUGCCCGUGGGUGUGGGUCAGAUGCUGGAGGAGGGAGUAGCACCCUGCUUUGUGCCCCAAGACAUCCAGCUAUCAAAGGGGAUGCUGGGAGAAAUGCAGAGCCCAGCAUGGCCUGGGUUGGGACGGAUGUCUCCACACUGAGACUGAGCAAGCCACUCAGCCCACUGCCCCGUCCAUCUCCUCUCUGAGGCCUCCGCCAUGAGGGAAGUCACUUUACCCACGAGACAGUGUGGUGGUCCCAGAGUCUGUGAUGGAGACCAUGGGAAUUGGUAGGGUUUCUGAUGCGCAACAAGGAAGCCCACCUAUGGAAGUUAGAUGUGCUUUCAGCCUGAGCUUCUUUUGAAUGGGAGCGUUAUUUACUCAAUAAAUCUUAAUAACUCCAUCAAUUACCAUAGAAAUAUUUUGGAAACAUCUUCACCCAGUUGGGAAAGGCUCCUAACCAGGUGACAGGGGAAUUCUUCUCUUUCCCCAUCAGCGAGUGGGACCGGCCACUGAGAGUUCACGGUGGUCCAGAGUCUUGGUGAAAAUAACUCUGAGAUCAGCAGACCAAGACAAUCCUGAGAAUCAAGAAGCUUCUAGGGACCAAUCUGGAAAAUAGAGCACCUCGUCCUGAUCUGGAAGACAUUUCCAUCCACAGCUCUGCAAAAGGGCACCUUCCUUAGUCAUUUCAUCCCAAUUUGGCUCCUUUUAACAAAUGCAUUUUCAAGUUCAGAGCUGGAAUGGGCCCCUGGAGGCUUCUGAGGCCUGGAGAACAGGAGAGAACUAAGUACAGAGAGAUGGAACUGGAGCCACUGUCUCAGAGCCCACUGGAACCCCAGCCAAAGGUUGGCCCUGCGCACAAGACCAAAUCACAGAAUUUCUCUGCUGAAUUCGCCCCAAGGUUAAUAGCACUUUUUGUGUUCCUCCCAAGUCCCUACAUGGCGCAGGGGGAGAAUCCCACCACAAAUCAGUCAGCUGAUCUUGGGUACAUUUUAUAGUCCUCGGAAUCUACAUCUCCAGCCAUAAAAUGGAAAUCAUUGUAUUUAUCCUCCCUCAUAAUACAGCGAGUCCCUCCUAUCGGAUAGUUGGCUAUCUGAGCACAGGGACCAUGUUGUAUUCAUUUUCCACAGAGCCCAGUAGAGGUACCUAUUAGUAACAACAACCACAACAGCAGCAAUAAUAAUAAUAAAGUAUCCUCUAUUGAAGACCUACUAUGUGCCCGGGACUCUGCUAAUCAUGGGUCAUACAUUAUCUCAUUGAAUCCUUAUAACACACUUCGGUUUGGUAUGGUUAUUAGCCCCAUUUUACAGAUGAGGAAGCUGAAGGUCAGAGAGUGGAAGUCUAACCUACUCAAUUUUUAAUACUUGAUCCUGGCUCCUUUGCCCUCCCUUCUCUCCCCUCCCCAACCCUUCUCCCUCUAGCAAAAAAGAACAAUAAUCUGGUGUAUGAAAAGACUUUUCAUAAACGUAAACUCAAAUAAAUUGUGUCUGGAGCAUCUGUGGCUCUCUCUCCUUUCCAAGGAUCAUUGGCCAUUCAUUUAUUCAGGAAACAAUUACUGCAAGUCUCCUCUGCACAGGCUGAGGAUAAAAUAACGAGCUAAAAUGAUCAUCCUCCAGCCCUCGGGAACUUACAGUCUAGGAAUAUUGUCUGACGUGCUGGGCAUCUCUGUAAGCAAAAGGUAGUCUCCGUCUUACCCAUCCCUGCCCAGGUUUUAUUCAUUCAUUCUUCACCAUUUACUAUCUAUUGAACUAAGAUUGGGUUAGCCUGCAAGUAACAUAAUCCAAAUAUCAAUGGCUGCCUUAAACUGUAAAGAGAGGGCUUAUUUUUCUUGUAUAACAUAAGGUCCAGUAGUAACUUGUUUAAUAACUAAAAGAUGUCAGAACAGAGAGGUCUUGAUGGUUCUGGUGGCCUUUGCCUCAUGGAUGUAUGAUGGUUGCCACAGUGCCAGCAAUUGAAUCUAUAGUCUGAAAAAGUGGAAAGUGGUGGGACCGGCCCAGUGGCAUAGUGGUUAAGUUCACGUGCUCCACUUUGGUGGCCCAGAGUUCACGGGUUUGGAUUUCAGGCACAGACCGAUCACGGACCUACAUACCGCUCAUCAAACUGUGCUGUGGCAGCAUCCCACACACAAAGUAGAGGAAGAUGGGCACAGAUGUUAGCUCACUGACAAUCUUCCUCAAGCAAAAAGAGGAAGAUUGGCAACAGAUGUUAGCUCAGGGCCAGUCUUCCUCGCCAAAAAAAUAAAUAAAUAAAAAUGAAAAAGAGGAAAAGUGGCAAAAGGGCCCACAUCAGCUGAGUCAACCUCCCUUUCAUGGGCUUUUCUGGAAGUCCUUUGCAACGUCUUAGCACUAAACACUUCUGUCACAGACACUGUUGGUGCCUGCCCCUCCGUGUCCCCUUGGCACUCGUCAUUUGGGCACCACAGAAUGUCCUUCUACAAACACCUUCCUUUUGCCCCAGGAGCUUGCUCAGGUCACCACACAGACCAGGCCAGAAGUGCAGAGUUAAGGGUACCUGGGAGAAGUCUCAACCAAUGACAGACAGCAGGUGGUGGAUAAAUAGCCCAGGUGGGAAAAGAUGGGGCCUGUUCUACACCAUGUCUCAGAGGUUCCCAGCGGGAUCAAGCCCCAGUUGGCUCCAGCCAUCACUUGCUCACUCACACACUCUGCGUUUGGCAUCUUCUCUUCCUUGUCUCAUUUCCACAAAUCCUUCCUGGGUCACCUUCCAAAUAAAGUGCCAGCUCUUAAACCUCGGACUUAAAGAUUCUGCUUCUGGGAACCCAACCUAAGGCAGCUUGUUGGCCAGACUGCAUCCCGGGGCCACACGGGCUGCAAGAUCCUGGAGAGGGCGCUCCUUGAGACGGAUACGUUACUGCUCCCGUCAACACUGGGGUUCUGUUGACAUGGAGGGGAGAAGGGGUAGCAAUUUGGGUGGGAUCGCACCUAGCAAUCUCUACCAUCCCUAGAUCAGGCCAGCUCCAGGUAGGUGCAGGAUCUCCCACAUUUGCACCAAGGACCCUCCAAGUGCCAUGCAUGCCAAGCAUCCUGCUGGGCACGGGUUCCAGUGGAGGCCAGGGACAGCCUCUGCUCAGGGACUUACAGUCUCGAGGAGGACGGAGACAGACAAACAGCAGCUGUAAUGCAGAUAUGGGCGUUGACCUCUGGGAGCCCUCGAGCGAAGGAGGCUCCACCCUAAGAGCUUUACAUACGUGGUGAUGCUGAACCCUCGAAAGCAGCCUCUGAGACAAGGACUAGUUUUACUUUUUUUGUUCUACAGAUGAACAAACUGAGAAUCAGGGAGGUUGAGUGACUUGCCCAAGAACACACAGCUAAUAAGUGGCAGAGUUCAAACUCAAACUCAGUUUGUACUGAAGAAGCGAUGUCCCAGCUACGCGUGGAAGGGUGAGCAGCAGUGGGACAGAUGGAGAAGAGGGCAAGACAGUUCUAGGCAGAGAACGGCCCAUGCAAAGGCCAGAGACUUGAGAUGCUCCGUAAGGCUGCCCAUGCUGGGGAGCUGCCCAGGCCUCAGCUGAGCAAAGGGAGCGACAGCUUGAAAGGGGCUGCUCCAGCCCCCAGAGCUGGGACCAGGAGCCACCCUCACUCCACUAGGACACCUCCCCACCAUUCUCUCUCGCUCACUGGCUCGCUUUCUCUUACACACACACACAUUCCCUACAUUCUGGCCGCCCCCCCCCCCCCCCCCCGUGCUCACCACCUCACAGGUACCCACUCCAACACACCACCUGCUUGACCUCAGUUUACACCGGUGCCCUGUUACCUCUAGAUCAAGUGCAGAAUUUCCCAUGCUUGUAUUGAGGACCCUCUAAGCACCACUUUCAGAAUCAGAGAGUCAGGGGUUCAAAUCCCAGCUCUGGGUUAGCCCCAAGUAAGUCAGAUAGUCUGUCUCAACCUCAGUUUUCCCAUCUGCAAAACGGGAAUGAAAAUCCCCACUUCACAAGGUUGUAGUGAGGACCUAACGAGAUUGUAUGGGUAAGUUCACAACAUGGUGGCAGGCAUCCAUCGGCCGUUUUCUUUUAUUAUUAUUAUUAAUCAUACGAGCACCCUAGAAUAUCCACCCUUAGCUACUACAUCCUAAUCUUGCAAUGACUGUCCGCGCCCUCGCUCCUGCACCAGCUGUUCUGCACACCUGGAAUGCCUUCCCACUCCUCCCUCUUCCAGCUAUUCCCUGGACCAGGCCUGGGGGCCUUGCCCCUCCAGCUGCUUCUCCUUUGGCUCAGUGAAUUGCAAACUCGGCUGGGUAGUAGAAUCACCGGGGAGCUUUUUAAGACUCCCCCCCCCCCCCCGGGGGCCCGACGCCUAGGCCCCGAAGAGACGGACUACAUCAGAAUUCUGAGCUGGGCACCCUGGGCACCAGGAUGUCCUCAGGCUUCCCCAGGUGAUUUUGAUUUGCAGGCAGGUUUGAGAACCCGCCCUCCGACCUCUUCCUUCUGCGAAGUCCUGUAGUUUGACCUACGUUUACCCUGUGCCUUUCGCUUCUUGAUGGCUGGCUUGUGUGUGUUUGUCUUGUCCCCUGAGCAAAGCCAAGUUCUUGCGAGGAAGCACCACCUAGCUUCCCUCACGACCCCCGGCGAGUGCUGACCUCCUUUCCACACUGUCAAGACGAGUUCGCCAGGAGGCUGGUGCACACACAGCAGGUCAUUUAUCUCCAUCUCUCUUCGCCUCCCCACGGGCCCUUCCUGCUCAGCAGCGGCUGUCACUCGGAUCCCCUAGGAGCCGACCUCUGCCUUUCCACGUGUGGCUCUCGGUGGGGACUCCUCAAAGCAAAUCCAGAGGGCCUGCCCCGCCCUCCAGACAGCCUGUCCCUAACGGCAGGGUCGAGGUCCGCGUGCGCCGCGCGUGCGCAGCCAGCCUGCGCCCCGUCCAUCCACUCCCAGCCCCCUGCGGCGGCCCCUUGGCCUCACCACUGCCCUGCAUCCUCGGGAGGUGCUCGGGGGAAGAGAAACAUGCAGGCUAGGGCAGAAAAUAUUCUCCAAAAUGGCCACAGAAACAUCUCCCACGCCGUGGACUCUUCUACCGUGUAACCUAGCCCCGCGGCCAUCAACCUUGCCCCCAUCCCUCCCCGGACCUGGCCAGACUUUUGUUUCUGCCUCUACCAAUAACAUGACAGAAGGGCCUCUGGAAGCGGGUCCUGAAAGGUGAUUCGGCUUCCUCCUGGGUCUCCCUCCUGGGACACUUGUUUCUAGAACCACUGGCCACAAGCCUUUAAAACUAUAAUGCACCUGCCUUGAAGCACUCGGAUGAGAACUAAGAUGAAAAUGCAUAGGGAAGACUUAUCCCAGCCUUUGGCAUAUAGCGAGCAGUUGCCACAAGCUGAUGCACAGGUGCGCAUCCUCUCUGCUGGGCCUGAAGACCCCGAUGGCUCCAACCCACUACGUGAAGCCACCUCCCCCUCCCCCGCCCCAACUCUGACAACGGCAUCUAUGUUUCUUCAUGGAAAAACCUUCUCGACUCAAUUCACUGCCAAGCCAGGCGAGCGCUCCAACUCGACAGAAUUAUCAGCACUGAGCUAACAGAGACAGAUGAACCGAGAGGCGAGUGGGGACAGCGAGCAAACAGAUCUAUUUCCCAGCUCCGAGAUCCGGUCUGGGCUUCCCCCCAACAAAAGACGAACUUCUCUGCGGAGGUGUCCACGGAGCCCCUGUGUUAAGUCAAUUUUCCUCCCCUUGGCCUUCCAUGAGUGGCUGAGGAAGGAGGUGGGGGGCCCAGGUGGCGAACCCCAACACUGGCCCUGAGCAUCUUCUCACCCAGGGAGGCUUUCCCGCCAUCCCAUCUAAGAGGCCGCUGGAGGACCAGGGGGAAAAAAGAGUUUGAAAAAUGCAGUUCUUUGGUGAAAAGAUUGGCUGUCUGAGGGCUGAAUGGAAAACAGUCAACUUCAAUCCGAUGGGAAAUUCUUCUUUCCCCGGGCUUUCUAUCUUACGAGUUUUCACAGCCAAUCUUAAGCCCCUGGCAGCCCCCUGGGGAUUGGAGCUGCUUGUAGGGGGGCUGUGGGUCCUGCUUGGAAAAGGCUCCCAAGAUGAUAAAACGGCGGGGCUCUCAAGUCAAUGAUCUGUGGCCGCAGACAGGCCAGGUGGUGCCCACACACAUGCUGCUAUGGGGGCUGUUGACCCCUGGGGCUGUUGCUUCCAGUGGAGGGGCAGCGCAGCUCCGGAGUCUUCCUAGUCCCCCAGGGGCACCCUGUGUGACCUGCUAAGUGAUUUCACGCCUCAAUGCCUGGACAGCCCCAUCUAUCACAUGGGACAGGGCGCACACCGUCUCUUACCACACGGGAGUCGGUCUAAAGAUCAUUGUUCACAUGUUUCGAGCUGGAGUGUUCCAGUAGCCCAGCACCUGGAAUUAGGACACUGGGUCAAAGGGCAUGUCAUUAAACAUUUUGAUAGAUACUAAAAGCUCUCCCAGUUUUCGCUCCUGUGUCAGGCAACUUUUACUGUGUAACAACUUGGAAAUUUCAGCUGCACAGAACCAGCAUUUGUUUUCUGGCUCACUUGCCUGCAGUUCAGCAGGCGGGGCUGAUCCAGGCUGGGCAUGGCUGGGCUGAGCUCCAGGCCUUGUCUCCUGUCCUCCUGGGACCUGUAGCUCCCUGGGUAAUGUUGUUCUCCUGGUGAUAGCCAAAGCACAAGAGGGACAAGCAGAAACAUUCCAGGCCCCUGAAGGCCUAGGCACAGAACUGGCCACCAUCACGCCUGCCCCCAUUCCAUUGGGCAGAGCCAGUCCUGUGGCCAAGCCCGGUGUCAGUGGGGCAGGGAGGCCUACACCUCCCGUGAAGUUUGGAGUAGGGGUGGAGUGAAUGCUUACAGAUGGGUAAUGCAGUCUACACAACCCCUGUCAUGUGUGUGCGUGUCUGCUUAUGCUCACACUCGUGCACAAAGAGGUAUGUGCAAGAAUGUUCACUGCAACACAGUGUGUGCUGUUGAAACCUGAAGAAAAAACCCCAAAUACGGUAGUCCCUCUGUAUUCGAGGGAUUGGGUCCAGGGCUCCCUGGAUACCCAAAUCUGGGAUGCUCAAGUCUCCCAUACAAAAUGUCAUAGUAUUUGCAUAUAAUCUAUGCCCCUCCUCCCAUAUAUUUUAAAUCAUCUCUAGAUUAUUUAUAAUACCUAAUACAAUGUAAAUGCUAUGUAAAUAGUUGUUCCAUUGUAUUGUUUAGAGAAUAAUGACGAGAAAAAAAAGUCUAUACA
ensembl:lncRNA